CGUAGGGUGCGUAGCGUUAAUCGGAAUUACUGGGCGUAAAGCGUGCGCAGGCGGUUAUAUAAGACAGAUGUGAAAUCCCCGGGCUCAACCUGGGAACUGCAUUUGUGACUGUAUAGCUAGAGUACGGCAGAGGGGGAUGGAAUUCCGCGUGUAGCAGUGAAAUGCGUAGAUAUGCGGAGGAACACCGAUGGCGAAGGCAAUCCCCUGGGCCUGUACUGACGCUCAUGCACGAAAGCGUGGGGAGCAAACAGGAUUAGAUACCCUGGUAGUCCACGCCCUAAACGAUGUCAACUGGUUGUUGGGUCUUCACUGACUCAGUAACGAAGCUAACGCGUGAAGUUGACCGCCUGGGGAGUACGGCCGCAAGGUUG
rnacentral:rRNA from 1 species